UACGAAGGGGGCUAGCGUUGUUCGGAAUUACUGGGCGUAAAGCGCGCGCAGGCGGUCUUCCAAGUCAGUGGUGAAAGCCCGGAGCUCAACUCCGGAACUGCCAUUGAAACUGUUGGACUUGAGUACGAGAGAGGUGAGUGGAAUUCCCAGUGUAGAGGUGAAAUUCGUAGAUAUUGGGAAGAACACCGGUGGCGAAGGCGGCUCACUGGCUCGUAACUGACGCUGAGGCGCGAAAGCUAGGGGAGCAAACAGG
rnacentral:rRNA from 1 species